UACAGAGGUGGCGAGCGUUGUUCGGAUUUACUGGGCGUAAAGCGUGCGUAGGCGGUCCGGUGUGUCGGAUGUGAAAUCCCGGGGCUCACCCCCGGAAGUGCAUCCGAAACUGCCGGACUAGGAUUCGGGAUGGGGAAUCGGAACACAAGGUGUAGCAGUGAAAUGCGUUGAUAUCUUGUGGAACACCGGAGGCGAAGGCGGAUUCCUGGAACGAGAUCGACGCUGAGGCACGAAAGCGUGGGGAGCAAAC
rnacentral:rRNA from 1 species